CCUACGGGGGGCAGCAGUAGGGAAUAUUGCACAAUGGGGGAAACCCUGACGCAGCAACGCCGCGUGGAGGAAGAAGGUUUUCGGUUUGUAAACUUCUUUUGUCAGGGAAGAUAAAGACGGUUUCCAACGAAAAAAAACCGGCUAACUACGUGCCCACAGCCCCGGUAAUACGGAGGGGGCAAGCGUUACUCGGAAUUACUGGGUGUAAAGGGCGCGUAGGCGGGUUAGCAAGUCAGAUGUGAAAGCCUCUGGCUUAACCAUAGAACUGCAUUUGAAAAUGUUAUUCUAGAGUGUUGGAGAGGUAGGUGGAAUUCUUAGUGUAGCGGUAAAAUGCGUAGAGAUUAGGAGGAAUACUCGUGGCGAAGGCGACCUGCUAGAAAGUAACUGACGCUGAGGCGCGAAAGCGUGGGGAGCAAACAGGAUUAGAUACCCUUGUAGUC
rnacentral:rRNA from 1 species